CUGUGGUCUGUGCUGGUUCAGGAGGAAGGACGAUGCAUUGUUCUCCUCAAGAACGGGCUUACUAUGAAGUGCUCCACGCUGUGGCAGAAACUAACAUGGAGGAGGAGAGUGACAGACACAGUAGCCGUGCUCCUAUUUCGGAGACUGAGGAGAAGAAUGUGCCAGCACACAGGGAUGUGACCAGGAAGCACGAGCGUGGGGGAAUGGUCCCUUUACUAUUCCUUUCAGAAACUAAUCCACUGUGCUGCAGAGCCUGAGUCAGUACGAAUGACAAGCAUUUGAAGGAGUGGGUAUUUAUAGUGAAGUCUCCACAACCUGCCUUCACUCUGCCCAUCACCCACCUAACAGAGAGGGAUACACUUAUAUCCUAUUACAGUCAGAAAAUUUUGAAAUAAAUGACAACAGCUGAACACA